AACCUGCGGAGGGAUCAUUAAAAAGAUGGGUCCUCUGGGACCCUUCAUCCACAAACCUGCGGAAGUGAGAUGUGCUUCGGCGCCUCUGGGCGUCGAGUCUAUGCUGUUUAGCUUUGUGUCUGAAGAAAAACAAAAUUUAAAACUUUCAACAAAGGAUCUCUUGGCUCUCGUAUCGAUGAAGAACGCAGCAAAGCGCGAAAUGUAAUGUGAAUUGCAGAACAUUGUGAAUCAUCGAAUCUUUGAACGCACAUUGCGCCUCCCGUAAAUGGGAGGCAUGCCUGUCUGAGCGUCAUUUAAAACCAUAACCCUUUGGGUUGUAUUGGGACUCACCCAUGGGUGUCUCCUCAAAGUCAUCGUGUCUAAAAGCGUACGAGUUCCAUUAGGACAGAACGUUUGAGGACCCUAAACUCUCUGACUUGACCUCAGAUCAGGUAGGACUACCGCCUGAACUUAAGCAUAUCAAUAAGCGGAGGA
rnacentral:rRNA from 1 species